UACGUAGGGUGCAAGCGGUAAUCGGAAUUACUGGGCGUAAAGCGUGCGCAGGCGGUUUUGUAAGUCUGUCGUGAAAGCCCCGGGCUCAACCUGGGAAUUGCGAUGGAGACUGCAAGGCUUGAAUCUGGCAGAGGGGGGUAGAAUUCCACGUGUAGCAGUGAAAUGCGUAGAGAUGUGGAGGAACACCGAUGGCGAAGGCAGCCCCCUGGGUCAAGAUUGACGCUCAUGCACGAAAGCGUGGGGAGCAAACAGG
rnacentral:rRNA from 1 species